rnacentral:rRNA from 1 species
CCUUUUUCCACCGGAGCUUGCUCCACCGGAAAAAGANGAGUGGCGAACGGGUGAGUAACACGUGGGUAACCUGCCCAUCAGAAGGGGAUAACACUUGGAAACAGGUGCUAAUACCGUAUAACAAUCNAAACCGCAUGGUUUUGAUUUGAAAGGCGCUUUCGGGUGUCGCUGAUGGAUGGACCCGCGGUGCAUUAGCUAGUUGGUGAGGUAACGGCUCACCAAGGCCACGAUGCAUAGCCGACCUGAGAGGGUGAUCGGCCACAUUGGGACUGAGACACGGCCCAAACUCCUACGGGAGGCAGCAGUAGGGAAUCUUCGGCAAUGGACGAAAGUCUGACCGAGCAACGCCGCGUGAGUGAAGAAGGUUUUCGGAUCGUAAAACUCUGUUGUUAGAGAAGAACAAGGAUGAGAGUAACUGUUCAUCCCUUGACGGUAUCUAACCAGAAAGCCACGGCUAACUACGUGCCAGCAGCCGCGGUAAUACGUAGGUGGCAAGCGUUGUCCGGAUUUAUUGGGCGUAAAGCGAGCGCAGGCGGUUUCUUAAGUCUGAUGUGAAAGCCCCCGGCUCAACCGGGGAGGGUCAUUGGAAACUGGGAGACUUGAGUGCAGAAGAGGAGAGUGGAAUUCCAUGUGUAGCGGUGAAAUGCGUAGAUAUAUGGAGGAACACCAGUGGCGAAGGCGGCUCUCUGGUCUGUAACUGACGCUGAGGCUCGAAAGCGUGGGGAGCAAACAGGAUUAGAUACCCUGGUAGUCCACGCCGUAAACGAUGAGUGCUAAGUGUUGGAGGGUUUCCGCCCUUCAGUGCUGCAGCUAACGCAUUAAGCACUCCGCCUGGGG